CCUACGGGCGGCAGCAGUGAGGAAUAUUGGUCAAUGGGCGGGAGCCUGAACCAGCCAAGCCGCGUGAGGGAAGAAGGUACAGCGUAUCGUAAACCUCUUUUGUCAGGGAACAAAGGCGGGGACUAGUCCCCGGCUGAGGGUACCUGAAGAAAAAGCAUCGGCUAACUCCGUGCCAGCAGCCGCGGUAAUACGGAGGACGCGAGCGUUAUCCGGAUUUAUUGGGGUAAAGGGGUGCGCAGGCGGCCUGUUAAGUCAACGGUAAAAGCCCGGGGCUCAACCCCGGCGGGCCGUUGAAACUGGCUGGCUGGAGUUGGAGAGAAGUACGCGGAAUGCGCGGUGUAGCGGUGAAAUGCUUAGAUAUCGCGCAGAACCCCGAUUGCGAAGGCAGCGUACCGGCUCCACACUGACGCUGAGGCACGAAAGCGUGGGUAUCGAACAGGAUUAGAUACCCGGGUAGUC
rnacentral:rRNA from 1 species